rnacentral:rRNA from 1 species
UACUCCUACGGGAGGCAGCAGCCGCGGUAAUUUUGCCCAAUGGACGAAAGUCUGAUCCAGCAACGCCGCGUGAGGGAUGACGGCCUUCGGGUUGUAAACCUCUUUCAGUAGGGACGAAGCGCAAGUGACGGUACCUACAGAAGAAGGACCGGCCAACUACGUGCCAGCAGCCGCGGUAAU